UACAGGGGGUGCAAACGUUGCUCGGAAUUAUUGGGCGUAAAGCGCACGUAGGCGGUUUGUUAUGUCGGAUGUGAAAGCCCUUGGCUCAACUGAGGAAGUGCAUCCGAAACUGGCAAGCUAGAGUAUGUAAGAGGGUCGCGGAAUUCCCGGUGUAGAGGUGAAAUUCGUAGAUAUCGGGAGGAACACCGGUGGCGAAGGCGGCGACCUGGGACAAUACUGACGCUGAGGUGCGAAAGCGUGGGGAG
rnacentral:rRNA from 1 species